rnacentral:rRNA from 1 species
AUUGAACGCUAGCGGCAGGCUUAACACAUGCAAGUCGAACGAGUGGCGGACGGGUGAGUAAUACUUGGGAAUCUGGCGUAUGGAGGGGGAUAACUACGGGAAACUGUAGAUAAUACCGCGUACCAUAGGAUGAGCCCAAGUGGGAUUAGGGAGUUUGUGAGGUACAGGCGCACCAAGCCGACGAUCUCUAGCUGGUCUGAGAGGAUGACCAGCCACACUGGGACUGAGACACGGCCCAGACUCCUACGGGAGGCAGCAGGGGUGAAUAGUGCGCAAUGGGGGCAACCUGACGCAGCCAUGCCGCGUGUAUGAAGAAGGCCUUCGGGUUGUAAAGUUCUUUCGGUAGCGAGGCGUUACCUACAGAAGAAGCACCGGCUAACUCCGUGCCAGCAGCCGCGGUAAUUC